AUUGAACGCUGGCGGCAGGCCUAACACAUGCAAGUCGAGCGGAUGAAGGGAGCUUGCUCCUGGAUUCAGCGGCGGACGGGUGAGUAAUGCCUAGGAAUCUGCCUGGUAGUGGGGGAUAACGUCCGGAAACGGGCGCUAAUACCGCAUACGUCCUGAGGGAGAAAGUGGGGGAUCUUCGGACCUCACGCUAUCAGAUGAGCCUAGGUCGGAUUAGCUAGUUGGUGGGGUAAAGGCCUACCAAGGCGACGAUCCGUAACUGGUCUGAGAGGAUGAUCAGUCACACUGGAACUGAGACACGGUCCAGACUCCUACGGGAGGCAGCAGUGGGAAUAUUGGACAAUGGGCGAAAGCCUGAUCCAGCCAUGCCGCGUGUGUGAAGAAGGUCUUCGGAUUGUAAAGCACUUUAAGUUGGGAGGAAGGGCAGUAAGUUAAUACCUUGCUGUUUUGACGUUACCAACAGAAUAAGCACCGGCUAACUUCGU
rnacentral:rRNA from 1 species